GUGUCUACUUUUGCAGCACAUAUUCUACAACUGGCAUGAUAUAGGGAAGAUAGGCAGGUCCCUGCAUGAUGGUGGCAUGCAAAUUUGUGAGGGAUUUAUCUUUCCU